rnacentral:rRNA from 1 species
GUUUAUCAAAAACAUGUCUUUUUGAAUUUAAUUUAAAGUCUAACCUGCCCACUGAAUUUUAAAUGGCCGCAGUAUUUUAACUGUGCAAAGGUAGCAUAAUCAUUAGUUUUUUAAUUAAAAGCUGGAAUGAAUGGUUGGAUGAAAUAUUAUCUAUUUCAUAUAAAUUUAUAAUAAAAAUUAAUUUUUUAGUUAAAAAGCUAAAAUUUAAUUAAAAGACGAGAAGACCCUAUAAAUCUUUAUAUUAUAUUGGGGUGAUAUUAAAAUUUAAUAAACUUUUAUAUUUAUUUAAACAUAAAUUUAUGAGUAAUUGAUCCAUUUAUUAUGAUUAUUAGAAUAAGUUACUUUAGGGAUAACAGCGUAAUUUUUUUAGAGAGUUCAU